GAGCAACCUUCCUUCUCUCUCUCUCUCUCUCUCUCUCUCUCUCUCUCUCUGUCUCAAUUUAUCUUCACGGGGCGGGGGGAGAGAGAGAGAGAGAGAGAGAGAGAGAGAGAGAGAAUAUCUAAGAGA